ensembl:lncRNA
GAGAAAUCAAAGAACAUGAUUCUCACAGUGCUUCCAGCGGUCUCCAGGUGAGCGAGGGAACGAUGUAGGAGGUGAAUGACGGCAUCAUCCGCUCCAAUGCCAGGCUGGUAGGCAAACUGAAGUGGGUCCAGUGAUGAGCUUGUUAGGCGCCGAAGCUGAGCCAGGACCAACCGCUCCAGGGUCUUCAUCAGGUGGGAUGUCAGAGCCACCGGCCUGUAGCUGUUGAGGUCCUUGGGGCGUGAAGUCUUUGGCACUGGUACAACACAGGAGGUUUUCCAGAGCUGUGGGACUCUUCCCAACCUCAGGCUCAGGUUGAAGAGGUGCUCCAUCACAGAGCCUUGUGUUGAGUGUGUAUUGGAUGCUGUUGUUGGGGGUGGGGAGGAGUGAGCAGGGUGAAUAGAGGAGGUGUGAAGUGUCUGAGGUGGAACAGCAGCAGUGGGGGUGGGUGAGUCUGCAGCCGAUGUUGUAGACUGUCUCAUGGUUGAAUCAAAUCUGUUGAAGAAAUUAUUCAGUUCAUUUGCCCACCUCACAUCCCUCCCAGGCAGAGAGUUCUGCUGUUUGUGGCCUGAGAUGGUUCUGAGGCCUCUCCAGACUUCACCAACGUUGUUUUGUUGAAGCUGGUUCUCCAUCUUCUGCCUGUAGCUCUCCUUCCCAUUCCUUAUCAGUCCCCUCAACUCUCUCUGCACCCUUUUCAACUCCUCUUUGUCUUUGGAUUUGAAGGCCCUCCUCUUCUGCUUGAGGACAGCUUUAAUUUCUGGGGUAAUCCAAGGUUUGUUGUUGGAGAAACACCGUACAGUCCUGGUAGGUACAGUGUUAUCCACACAGAAAUUAAUAUAGUCAGUAAUGCAUGUAGUAAGGCUGUCGAUGUCCUCUCCAUGGUCGUCACAAAUCACCUCCCACACAGUCGACUCAAAACAGUCCUUAAGAGCCUCCUCGCUCUCCUCUGACCAUCUCUGCACUGUGCGGGUGGCUGGUGGCUCCCUGCGCACUAAGGGCUCAUACACAGGGACAAGGUGCACCAGGUUGUGGUCAGAUUUGCCCAGUGGAGGGAGAGGUGAUGAACUGUAUGCCUCUUCUGCAUUGGCAUACAGUAAGUCCAGUGUUUUAUUGUCUCUGGUUGAGCAGGUCACAUACUGGGUGAAGGUGGGCAGUGUGGAGUCCAAAGAGGCAUGAUUGAAGUCCCCUGAUAUUGUAUAUAUAUUCUUUUUAAAGUGCUAUAUAAAUAAACGAUGAUGAUGAUGGCCUCUCCCUGUAUGCUAUGCAACAUCACUAUGACAAAGUAUUUGUUAUUAAAGCUUUCACUGGCAAACCCAGUUUACUGGCUCAGUUGUCAUUGGAGAUGAAAUGGGACAGACUGAUAAAACCUGCAGAGCCACUGACCAGCCAUGAGCUGCAGUGACAAACUCAUCAGUUUAAAAGCAACGCCGCUCUUGCUCUCCUCUUCCCUCCUCAUGUCUCCUCUCAGCCUUUAUCCUCUGUGCAUUUUGUACAUUGCAAGCCCUGCUUUUAGAUGUGGUAAUGUGGCGAGGAUUAAUGAUGGCUAAAUAGAAAUACCAAAUCUGAUGUUUUCACUGCUUUUAUUAUGCUAUUUAUAUCCUCACUCUUAGACUGCCACAUUUGUGUUUUGGUGUUUUAAUUACUCCAGUGGUGUAGAAUUUCACAGGGAGUGCUAAAAAUUUCCUUUUAACUAUUAAGAUCUGACACAUCAGCAGAUUCACAUCCGUUGAUAACUCACUCUGUUUGUACACAGCCUGUUGUUAAAUUUCAAACAGAACGCUCUAUUUAUGUUGCUUUAGCCUGCCUAAAGUUUCAUGCUCACCUGCAAGCAGCUUUGCAACCCACUUUCUUUUUAUGCUGUAUCUGACUUCAUCAGUGUCAAAUCUCUUGAUACCUGCUGUGAUGGUGUUGCUCUUUCUGCUAUGUGCUUUCCAUGGAGAGGUUCCAGAAAGCAGUCACAGCAAACAAAAUCUUCUCAGAGUGUAGGGAUCCUGACGAAACUCUAACUGAUUAUAUUUAAAAAUAACCACUUGUGAUUGAAUGUUGCUGUUCAGCUCCAAUUACAUUUUGUAAUAUGCAAUAUAGGAGAACAACCAUUGUGCAUUAUUUUUGCACUUUGAACAGUUUCAGUGUCCUUCUUAGUUGUUUGACUUGAGGGAAUAAAAUAGUUGCCAUGAUACAUACACACUUCAAACUUGACCUUGAGUGUGGUCAGGGACACAAGUGUCUUCACAUCAUGCUGUUACGUAAAUGGGGUCACAUACCUUUCUACUCCGAAUGCAACUCCAGUGUGUUUGGAUGGGUUCACACCUGUAUUUAUGUACAGCUGUCCUCUUGUGAUCAGAUUACUGAAAAAGCGUUUUCAGGCCAAGUGUAAACUGUGCCCUAUAAAUGACGUGAUCCUGCUUAUAAGUCUCUACAAGGUGUCAGUAUGUGAUCCCAUACAGCUCAGCCUUACAUGGGAUGGCCCCGCAUGGGGAGAAAGAAGGAUUAGGCAGGAUUGGCCAUUGGGCGAGAGAUAGGGGUGAUGUCAGUGCGGCACUCGACAGCUUCUAUAAAUGACUCCAGAUGAUCUGACACACAGCCAAACUCUUCACAUUACCAUGAGUCAACAGGCCGAGUGCUGUGAGAAGAGGGGAGAAUGGGCUAAGAGAGCAGAAACUGAGGCAGAUAAUCCCUGAUGGAAAAUACGCACUUAAGCAAUCUCACACAUAAGGACACACCCAGACCUACAAGACAGCAAGACCUUAAACGAACCGUCAAGCUUUCUAGGACCAGCAGAAGUCCAGGUCUUAUGUUUUAAGAGUGUUUGAGAAGGUGCAAGUUGGCUGUGCGGCAGUGUGUACAUAAUGAAGAAAUGGGCAGAACACCAUACCAACAUCUCCAUGUCUAUUUCAAAUCAGACACCCUGACUCUCCCUCCAGCAUGCAUGGAAGAUCCAGCCCAUCCCCGUUUGCCAAACGUUGUAUGUUAUUUCAGUUGGUGACAUGUAUGUAAAGCUAUAUUUACCAUGUUUUUUCUGUUUGUUAUAGUAAGUAUAUAUAAGGUACAUGUACUGCUCAAUGAAACAGUAAAUCCUGGGAGAUGCGAUGCCUGUAGGGAUGUUAAAUAAAGGUUAUAUUUUAUUAUAUGUUAUGUGAUUUUCUUUUUAAAAACAUAAAUUUAAAGAUGCUUAUAAUACAGUGUCCCAUAUGCUAUUAGAGUUAUCUACAGUUAUUAAGAGAUUCAUAGGAUUUCAAUAAUGAGAGUUCAAGUUGCUAUCAUUUAAUGAAACAGCCUUUGUAGACUGGUUCUCUGGCAUUUUGAUGAAAUUCUGGUUACUGGUGGCGUAGUGGUGAGUACUGUUGUUUCUCAAUAAGAUGUUUCUAGCCUUCGUUAAGUUUCUGUUCCUGUUCCUGUGACUUAGUGGGUUUCCAGGCUUCCUCUCACAGUCCAAACGUACAGUUAUGUCCAUUAAUAUUUGGACACAGACAACUUUUUCUAAUUUUGCUUCUGUACCUUACCACAAUGAAUUUUAAAUGCAACAAUUCAGAUGCAGUUGAAGUGCAGACCUUCAGCUUUAAUUCAGUGGGUUGAACAAAAAGAUUGCAUAAAAGAGUUUCCUCCUGUUAAUGCUCUGCCAGGCCUUUCAGUUGCUGUUUGUGUGGAGAAGUUUAGUCUUCAGCAAGUUAAAAGCUCAGUUUGUUACGGUCAGGUGACUGAUUUGGCAGUUCAAGAAUAUUCCACUUCUUUGCUUUAAUAAACUGUGUUGCUUUGGCUGCAUGUUUUGGGUCGUUGUCCAUCUGUAUUAUGAUGCUGCCCAAUCACUCUGACUGCAUUUAGCUCAAUUUGAGCUCAAUUUGUCUCUGAACACAGACAAACAAACAAACACUAGUGCCCCAAUGACACUGGCAGCCAUGCAUGGCCAAGCCAUCACACCGCCCUGC